CAGACAACAUUGAGCACACGUUUGGCAUGUCAAAGCUUGUUGUACUAAUUACAUCUGCCACCAACAAAGGUGAUGGAUACAAUUUGUGAUUUUAACUUCCCUGACCAGGACCGUCACGCAAUACUGGAAUAUAAAAGAAAACCAGAAACAUGGGUUACAGGAAGCCCCAGAAAGGACAUUCCCUGUAUUCUUCAGAGGAAAACUGGGGGAAAAGCUCCAUCAGGAGACCCCAGGGUUUGACAUGUUGGACCCCAACAUGAGAGUCAUAGAUGUUAGUUAUAACUGCCUCCACGACAAACACCUGAAGAGUUUUUUCCGCCAUCCGGAAAGGAAGAAGCGGCUGGUGA